rnacentral:rRNA from 1 species
GGAUUAGAUACCCUGGUAGUCCACGCCGUAAACGAUGUCGACCAGCCGUUGGGUGCCUCGCGCACUUAGUGGCGAAGUUAACGCGAUAAGUCGACCGCCUGGGGAGUACGGCCGCAAGGUUAAAACUCAAAUGAAUUGACGGGGGCCCCGCACAAGCGGUGGAGCAUGUGGUUUAAUUCGAUGCAACGCGAAGAACCCUACCUACUCUUGACAUCCAGAGAACUUUCCAGAGAUGGAUUGGCGCCUUCGGGAACUCUGAGACAGGUGCUGCAUGGCUGUCGUCAGCUCGUGUUGUGAAAUGUUGGGUUAAGUCCCGCAACGAGCGCAACCCUUAUCCUUGUUUGCCAGCGAGUAAUGUCGGGAACUCCAGGGAGACUGCCGGUGAUAAACCGGAGGAAGGUGGGGACGACGUCAAGUCAUCAUGGCCCUUACGAGUAGGGCUACACACGUGCUACAAUGGCGCAUACAGAGGGCGGCCAACUUGCGAAAGUGAGCGAAUCCCAAAAAGUGCGUCGUAGUCCGGAUUGGAGUCUGCAACUCGACUCCAUGAAGUCGGAAUCGCUAGUAAUCGUGGAUCAGAAUGCCACGGUGAAUACGUUCCCGGGCCUUGUACACACCGCCCG